UACUUUUAACGGACCGUUGGCGAUGAGGUCUCGAGGGGGCCGCUGUUGAGGCGGUCCCGAGCGCAGCCUCGCAGAACCUUUUGCCGAGUGGGAAAGCGCGUUGCUCUCGGAUAGCGAAGCAGUGGACAGUCUCGAGCUUUUCAGAUAAUUUAUCUGAAGAGAAGACAGGAUAUAUCAGGGGUGAAAUCCAGCAGGUUCUGACAGGUUCUGGAGAACUGGUAGCAGAAAUUUUGAGUAGUUUGGAAAACCGGCAAAUACCACCUCUGGCUGGCCCCAGAGUGGGGUAGGAAUGGAGAUUUUGCAAUAUCCUUCCCCUGCCAUGCCCACCAAGCCACGCCCACCAAGCCACACCAUGCCCACCAAGUCACGCCCACAGAACCGGUAGUAAAAAAAUUGGAUUUCACCACUGUAUACUUUGUUGUAAUUCAGGAGGAAAUACAGUAAGUAUCUAUAGUUCUUCAUUUUUGUCAGUGAGAAUGUAAUCAUUCAUGUCAACUGAGAUGACACAAUGGAUUGUUGAAAUACCUUUGAAUUUGAUACUGCUUCCUUGUUAUGCACAAUCUCUGACUCGUUCCUCUGAUGAUGGCAUUUUGCAGGCAAUACCAGAGGAAUGGAAUAACCCUGGCAUUUUGCUAACACAACUCUAGCAUAUUUCAGUUUACUCUCUUUUCUGAACAUAACUUGGAUUUGAAGUUUGUUUGUUUUAAUGUUUUUGCUUAUGUUCGGUGGAACAGGUUUGCUCCAUAUUCUAUACACUCUUCUUUUACUGCAGUUAUGUUCUUUGAUGAUAUACAGUUUCUACAAUAGUCUCAAAGAAAUGGUGGAAUAGAAUAAAUAAAUAAAGGAUGGAAAAGCAGGGACAGAGUGAAAUGUUAAAUGACAAAAUUAAUUUUUAUUUAUUUAUUUGAAAUUGAAUUGUUGCAUCCUGUGGCAUGUUGUCCUGCAGUGAGUUGGCCAUGGUGAGUUGUCCUGUGGUGGCCAUGGUGAGUUGGCUGCAGAGAGUUGGCUCUGGCAAGUUGUCCCAUUACAAUUCCACAGUCAACUGGAUUUACUGAAAUCUUGCUUGGCCCAUACUAUAGUGAAGCAACAGAAGGGGACACAUUAUCAACCUAUACAAAUACUCAAGAACAUUUAACCCAGGUCAAGAAUAUUCUUUAAGAAAAAUCCCUGAGGACUAAGGAGCUACUGAUAACUGAUGCACAGCUCAAUGAAAUGUCAUGUUUAAAUAUGCUUAUAUUUCCUAUUUGAUCAUUUCUUCUUGAGCUGCUUGUCAGAGGUCACAUUUAGUUGAGCACAGACAGACCGAAGAUGGUGACUGUGCUCUCCCCAGAUAGCUAUUGGCAGAAGUGGGAAAGUAACACUGAGGCAGAGACUGGGCUCCUGCCAGGUGAUUGUUAGUACACAUCAAGUUUCUUCAUAACCAACUUAUGCUAGCAAUGAUUAAUUACAAAAGCCAAUCUACAUUCUGGUUAGUAAGAUUUACUAAGAAGAAUGUUAUAAUAGAAUGGAAGAAUUCAGAAAAUACUCUACUUUCAGAUAAGAAAACUAUAAGUGGGGAAAUUAGUACAGGAAGCGUUCUGGGUCUUCUGCUUUCAGUGUAAAAGGGAAGGAAGUUUGUCCUUUUCACGAAGGAGGGGCAGGCUGCAUUUGCUGAUUGCUUUAGAAAAGCUAUUAAGAGGUUUCAUCAGGGUGAGAAUUGGUUCUUAUAGCAAAGAAAGAUGUCCAGGUUGAUUCUUGGUGCAUGAUAGGAAAGCAAUCUGAGAUAGCAAGUAGACUCUAAUGAAUGUAGUUGCUGCAGCAAAUUACCUAAUGGAUCACCAAAGUCCUCACUUUGAGAAUUACUGAGGAUUAUUUUAAGUUAAUAUGUAAGUCAAAACUUACAAGAGCAGUCAGUGCAUUAGAACCCCUUCAGCUUUUAGGAUCUUUUUGAGAAAGGAGGUAAUUUUAUAAUAACUUUUCACCAACUUUUCCUCUAGUAGAAUGAAGAGGAAAUCUACGUAUCUAUAUAACUUCAGGUUUAGUUGCAGCAAGCCAUAAACUCGGAGAAUGAACCUCCACCCUCAUAAGUCAAAAUCCUGCACAUUUUGGCAGAAUGAUAGCUUCUCCUUUUGUGAUUUCAGUGGGCCCAUUACUGUCAAGUUGAAGUAAUGAAUUGCUGACCUGGAUUUACCCCAAUAAUACUCCUUCUAUAAAUAUAACAUAAUGAAUUGUAUAUCUCAGGAUAUACAAUUAUGUUCUACAUUGUUCCAAAUACUAAUAUACCAAAGAACCCUUUUUAAUCUUAAUAAUGUGAGCCAAUGCUCAGAAAUAGAUACAUAUUUCAUGCUUGCCCAUUACAUUUUCUUUUACUCUGUAUGCAAGCUGUUAUUUUCCUAUUGUUGCUUUCUUAUGUCAGUAUAAUAUUGGAUUGAUUUACAAAAGAUUUUGAGAUCUCAUCUAAUGAAAGUGUUAGUUCCUCCUUCACUAAGUUUGCAAAUCUUUCUUCAGGCUUUUAAUGCCAAUGAAAUCCUUUCUUUUAAAAGGCUUGUCUGCCUACGCAACUGUAUCUGCCAUGGGAAUACAAUAAUAUAUUCUCUGAUGUAUUGUGUGUAUUUUUCCUUGUAAAAGGCAAAAAUGAAAGCUCCUCAAAGGUUCUGCAUCUCUAAGCAAGGCAGAGAAGGAGCAGAACCAUCGCUUCAUCUGACACUUUAGUUUAGGGAUGUCAAACUCGCGGGCUGCAGGCUGGAUGCGUCAUGUGGUGGCCCCGCCCCUGCCCGGUUUAGCAAAGGGAGAAAAGUCCCAAUACGUAAAGUGACGCCACCGUGACGAUGCGAGUUUGACACGCUGCUUUAGUUCAUUCAUCUGAGAAGGUAGAUAUACUGAAAUUUGUAGGUUAAGAUGUUAGGAGGACAGUGAGCAUCCUUCUAUGUAAAACAGACCAAAGCCUAUAAGCAGUUUAUAUAGUUUUUCUACACUAAUUAAGCUAUGUGAUUGUUAUUUAUCUAAAAUCUCAAGACCAUUUCAUGAAAUAAUUUGAGGAUCAGAAUGCUACUUCCAACUCAUUUAUUGUUCCUGCUUAUGGCAGAGGAAACAAAAUUCGUUUGUAUAAGUAAGAUUUCCUUAAGAUCUCUCCUCUAAAGUAGCAUGGUUUUAAAAUAUCAAGAAAAGUCUUCACAGAGAGAGAACAGGCAACUUUGUAGGUACCUUUCUUAUAUACAUAUAUAUGUAGGUACCUUUCUUAUAUAUAUAAACCUUCUUGAGAAUGGUGUAUGAGGUGAUAAGAGUAUCUAAUAGUAUCUAACACAUAACAGAAAACCAGAUAAUUAAGAAGUUCUUAGGGCUUUUUUGUCAGGUCAGAAACUGUAAUGGUAUGUGGGAAUGACUUAAGAAAUGGGGAAGAGCUGCGGACUACACAACUAUAAUGUCCACAGAAACAAAAGAGAAAUGGAGAAAGUGUCUCAGAAAGGACCAUCUAUGGUUUUCUGGACAGUAAAAGUAAAGGAGGAGAGAGUUGCUUACAAUUUUGCAAGAUUCUGUUAAUCUUACAAAAUAAUCACCUUAUAAUAAAGUAGUGUUAAUAUUCAUGGCUUGUACUUUUUGUCUGGACUAUCUUGAAGAGUUAACCGAAGCAUUCUAACAACAGCUGGGAACAGAAUCAGUAAUUAGCCAGAGAACUCCCAAAACUUCAGCAGUUCACAAAGGCCAUAAUUUGAGCCAUGACAAUCUAUGAUCAGGAGAGAAACCCGAUUCAGAACCACAAGACUUGUUUAUAACAGUUCAGAGAAUUCCAUGAAAAAGUCCAAAUGCAGCAAGAGUGGCAAAAAUGCCAAUCUAGAGUCAGAGUUGUUUCCAAGAGAGGAGCAAAAGCCUAGAUUGCUGUCCUCUCAAAGAGGCAUGCCGAGGGCCUUUGCCCAGUGUUCCAUAGCUGCACGGAUACAUUUGGGCUAUGCUCCCUGCCAAUAAGUAGCUCGUUAUUAUCUGAAUCUGCUCUCAUCUACAGAAGCUCAUUGCCUCCUAGAGUGACUAUGUAUCUACUUCAGGCUGCUGGUCUGUGAGGUCUGUCUUUUUAAUUUCUGAUGUAGGGAAUUCACAUGAGCCUAUUACACAACAGGCCUUCUCUGUAGCUCCACAUCCUGUAGAACAGCUUUCCCCCGAGACUGUUAUGUUGAGCUUUCAUUUGAAAAUUUGGCAGCAGACCCUAAGUGAAGUAGAGUGAUGUGUUUUCUGGUAGUCUAUUUUCUUUGUUAUAACUAUGGAAUUGAUU